rnacentral:lncRNA from 1 species
CCUCGUUGCCAUUCUAGGGCACGGAUUUGGGAUUUUUGGAAAUCUAGGGUUUUGAUCUAUUUUAAUAGGUCGUAAACCAAAUUGCUAGGUUUCGGAACGCGUCGGCGAAGACGGUUUGUCGAUCCGACGAGCGAGUGCGGAGAAAUCGCCGAAUCUAGUACUUGAGGGCUCGCUUCGCCCCGAGGAGUUGAAGCGACGUGCAAGGACCGCAGCGUCGAGUUUUCUACCGUCGCGGCAUCACCAAGAGGUGG